AUGAGCAGACUCUACCCCUCCUUUCCUCUUCACUUGCACUCUAUUCCUCCUUUCCUGUCGGAGAGUAUUAUCCUGCAGCUGCUCUGGAGUCUUGGAAAGAGCCACUUGAAAUCUUUUGGAAAAGCUUUUAAAUAUAAAGUCACCAUCUCUGAGCUGCGGAGAACUGGAGCAGCAACGGUCAACCAAUGCAAAGAGGAGGAGAGAGAUUCAGGACGGAAACUACAGAGGGGCAGAAGAUUCUCAGAUUGGCGGUCAGAAAAGAAAGAGGUGAACUGGCUAUUUUUGGAUAAUGAUGAAAAGGAAGAAGAACUUAGUGGAGGACAGCUCCACGCUUAUCGCCCUCUCGGACCAUCCUGAACAAACCUACGGAAGCUUGGAGAUGAGUGCGGCACCUCAGGAAAACAGGAAUGUGUUCAGUGAUGGGGUCACCCGGAUCGGUGAGUACUGGGCAGACAAGCACAUCAAUGAAAAGACUUGAAUUUGUCAUUUCGACAAAGGAUUGGUCAAAAAAUGUAUUUUUUCUAGAUUUGGGUGGCAGCCAUAGUC
ensembl:lncRNA